rnacentral:rRNA from 1 species
UGGGGAAUAUUGGGCAAUGGGCGAAAGCCUGACCCAGCCACGCCGCGUGAGUGAUGAAGGCCUUCGGGUCGUAAAGCUCUGUGGGGAGGGACGAAUAAGUCUGCGAUUAACACUCGCGGGCCCUGACGGUACCUCCUUAGCAAGCACCGGCUAACCAUGUGCCAGCAGCCGCGGUAAUACAUGGGGUGCAAACGUUGCUCGGAAUUAUUGGGCGUAAAGCGCACGUAGGCGGUCAUCUAAGUCGGAUGUGAAAGCCCUCGGCUUAACCGAGGAAGUGCACCCGAAACUGGAUGGCUUGAGUACUGAAGAGGGUCGCGGAAUUCCCGGUGUAGAGGUGAAAUUCGUAGAUAUCGGGAGGAACACCGGUGGCGAAGGCGGCGACCUGGGCAGAUACUGACGCUGAGGUGCGAAAGCGUGGGGAGCAAACAG